UUCAACCUACGGGGGGCAGCAGUAGAGAAUCUUCCACAAUGGGCGAAAGCCUGAUGGAGCAACGCCGCGUGGGUGAAGAAGGUCUUUGGAUCGUAAAACCCUGUUGUUAGAGAAGAAAGUGCGUGAGAGUAACUGUUCACAUUUCGACGGUAUCUAACCAGAAAGCCACGGCUAACUACGUGCGAGCAGCCGCGGUAAUACGUAGGUGGCAAGCGUUAUCCGGAUUUAUUGGGCGUAAAGCGAAC
rnacentral:rRNA from 1 species